rnacentral:rRNA from 1 species
CAGCAGCCGCGGGAAUACGUAGGGUGCGAGCGUUAAUCGGAAUUACUGGGCGUAAAGCGUGCGCAGGCGGUUGUGUAAGACAGGUGUGAAAUCCCCGGGCUUAACCUGGGAACUGCGCUUGUGACUGCACAGCUAGAGUAUGGCAGAGGGGGGUGGAAUUCCACGUGUAGCAGUGAAAUGCGUAGAGAUGUGGAGGAACACCGAUGGCGAAGGCAGCCCCCUGGGCCAAUACUGACGCUCAUGCAUGAAAGCGUGGGGAGCAAACAGGAUUAGAUACCCGCGUAGUCCCUGUCUCUUAUAC